UACGUAGGGGGUUAGCGUUGUCCGGAAUCAUUGGGCGUAAAGCGCGCGUAGGCGGCCCGGUAAGUCCGCUGUGAAAGUCAAAGGCUCAACCUUUGAAUGUCAGCGGAUACUGCCGGGCUAGAGUCCGGAAGAGGCGAGUGGAAUUCCUGGUGUAGCGGUGGAAUGCGCAGAUAUCAGGAGGAACACCAACGGCGAAGGCAGCUCGCUGGGACGGUACUGACGCUGAGGCGCGAAAGCGUGGGGAGCGAACAGG
rnacentral:rRNA from 1 species